rnacentral:tmRNA from 1 species
UUUCUUGAAAACUAAAAACCUAUAUAUUAUAAUUAAGAUGCUAAAUUAAGCUAUGGCAAUAAAUCUUAUUAAAAAUAGAGGCAGUGGACCCGGGGGCAGUACUCGGCACCUCCACCAGAAUAAAGCAAUGUUUUUAUGGGGGUGAAAAAGUUUCGACACACCUAGUAAAAUAAUAAAUUUUGCUCGAUAUGAUUCCGUCGUUUUAGGCAAUGUUUAAAUAAAGUAUUGUUUAAAUGGGUCAAAAAGAAGAAAUGCAAACGAUAACGAGCUUUCUUCAGAUGUUGGUUUACCUAAGCUUGCAUUAGCAGCUUAAUAGACUAGCAUACUGAGCGGUUAAAUGGGCUUACCGAGCAACAGAAAAGCCCUAGU